rnacentral:tRNA from 2 species
UCUCUCGUAGCUUAGUUGGUUAGAGCAUUGGUGUGUAAAGCCAAAGGUCCCGGGUUCGAUUCCCGGCGGGGGUA